AUUGAACGCUGGCGGCAGGCCUAACACAUGCAAGUCGAAUGGUAACAGGAAACAGCUUGCUGUUUCGCUGACGAGUGGCGGACGCGUGAGUAAUGUCUGGGAAACUGCCUGAUGGAGGGGGGUAACUACUGGAAACGGUAGCUAAUACCGCAUAACGUCGCUAGACCAAAGAGGGGGACCUUCUCGCCUCUUGCCAUCAGGUGUGCCCAGAUGGGAUUAGCUAGUAGGGGGGGUAACGGCUCACCUAGGCGACGAUCCCUAGCUGGUCUGAGAGGAUGAUCAGCCACACUGGAACUGAGACACGGUCCAGACUCCUACGGGAGGCAGCAGUGGGGAAUAUUGCACAAUGGGCGCAAGCCUGAUGCAGCCAUGCCGCGUGUAUGAAGAAGGCCUUCGGGUUGUAAAGUACUUUUAGCGGGGAGGAAGGGAGUAAAGUUAAUACCUUGGCUCAUUGACGUUACCCGCAGAAGAAGCACCGGCUAACUCCGUG
rnacentral:rRNA from 1 species